AACGAACGCUGGCGGCAUGCCUAACACAUGCAAGUCGAACGAGACCUUCGGGUCUAGUGGCGCACGGGUGCGUAACGCGUGGGAACCUGCCCUUAGGUUCGGAAUAACUCCCCGAAAGGGGUGCUAAUACCGGAUAAUGUCUUCGGACCGAAGAUUUAUCGCCUUUGGAUGGGCCCGCGUUGGAUUAGCUAGUUGGUAGGGUACAAGCCUACCAAGGCGACGAUCCGUAGCGGGUCGGUGAGGAUGAUCAGCCACACUGGGACUGAGACACGGCCCAGACUCCUACGGGAGGCAGCAGUGGGGAAUAUUGGACAAUGGGCGAAAGCCUGAGCCAGCAAGGCCGCGUGAAUGAUGAAGGCCUUAGGGUUGUAAAGCUCUUUUACCCGGGAUGAUAAUGACAGUACCGAGAGAAUAAGCUCCGGCUAACUCCGUG
rnacentral:rRNA from 1 species